AAGGCAUCACUCUGGCGCAUGCAGUGCCAGGGAUUGAACUCAGGACCACAUGAUUUUUGAGUCCCAACACCUUUCCAAUGCACUGCCUCCUCCCAGGCCUGUUUUU
rnacentral:miRNA from 1 species